rnacentral:lncRNA from 1 species
AGAAUGGUGUUACUUUAUCACUGCAUUCCUGAGUGAAAAGGUGAGGGACACAGGCCUCCAGGUUGUCUGUCUCCUUCCUUCUGGUCUGUGGAUGCUGUUGGAAUCAUCUCUGGGAUUGAAAGAGACGGUGGUGGGGUGGGCCCAGGAGAAUGCCAAGGAAUCAGGGCAGGUGUGCCAGGAGUUGGCUCCCCUAUCCUAAGAGUGAGGGGAGCAGCAGAUAGAUGGGUAAGGGGAACCCUGAGUCCUAGAGAUGAGAAGGUAGGUCCCAGUGCCCAACUGUGGUGGCUUGAGCCUCACAGAGGCAGAGGUGUGCUAAUGUAAGUGCUCCCAGAGCUCAACUGGCAAGAGUUCACAAUGUAGAACCAGAUCCACGUGACUACACAGGCGUGAUGCCUGUGAGUGUGGGGAACACAGGAAUCAGAAUGAACUGAGGGCCGGGUCAUUUCCAGCCUGCAGCCAGCCCUUUUUAAUUUCCCUUUUGAAAGAAUUGCUGGCCAGGCACGGUGGCUCACGCCUGUAAUCCUAGCACUUUGGAAAGCCGAGGCGGGUGGAUCACGAGGUCAGGGGUUCGAGACCAGCCUGACCAACAUGGUGAAACCCAGUCUCUACUAAAAAUACAAAAAUUAGCCAGGCGUGGUGGCACAGGCCUGUAAUCCCAGCUACUCAGGAGGCUGAGGCAGGAGAAUCCCUUGAACCUGGGAGGCGGAGGUUGCAUUGAGCCGAGAUUGUGCCACUGCACUCCAGCCUGGGCAAUAGACCAAGACUCUGUCUCAAAAAAAAAAGAAUUGCUGCUUUUCUCCCAGGCCUCAGCUGUGACUCUGUGUUCCCUGCUGGAACUUCACUCCACCAUUCACUUAUCUCUCUCCUUGUUCCUGCCCUUUCUUCUCAGCCUUCCCUUCCAGCUCUUAAAUCUCUCUUUCUAGAAGCUUCUAAAGACCAGCUCCUCCCUUAAGUAUUGUUACGAAGUUUAUCAUCAGUUGGCUUACAACCCUGGUUUCUACUGGCUUUGGCAUGAACACUGGUGGGAUGCAGCCAUGGAUCCUGGAAAUCUCUUGUCAUAGGGUUGGAUGGGUCCAUCUUCUCAUAUGCCUUGUGCUAUGGCUUGAAUUUGCAGUUUGCAACUAGCAAGUUCCAAAGCUAUUUAUUUUUGAAGCUGUCUUGUUUCUAUUUUGAUUCUGGUAAUCCAAAUUGCAGUUUGGUGUUUCCACGGAAACAAUUCAGUGAUUGUUUGGCUUGCCAAGAUGAACUGUGGGGG